rnacentral:rRNA from 1 species
CGAACGCUGGCGGCGUGCCUAAUACAUGCAAGUCGAACGCUUCUUUCCUCCCGAGUGCUUGCACUCAAUUGGAAGGAGGAGUGGCGGACGGGUGAGUAACACGUGGGUAACCUACCCAUCAGAGGGGGAUAACACUUGGAAACAGGUGCUAAUACCGCAUAACAGUUUAUGCCGCAUGGCAUAAGAGUGAAAGGCGCUUUCGGGUGUCGCUGAUGGAUGGACCCGCGGUGCAUUAGCUAGUUGGUGAGGUAACGGCUCACCAAGGCCACGAUGCAUAGCCGACCUGAGAGGGUGAUCGGCCACACUGGGACUGAGACACGGCCCAGACUCCUACGGGAGGCAGCAGUAGGGAAUCUUCGGCAAUGGACGAAAGUCUGACCGAGCAACGCCGCGUGAGUGAAGAAGGUUUUCGGAUCGUAAAACUCUGUUGUUAGAGAAGAACAAGGACGUUAGUAACUGAACGUCCCCUGACGGUAUCUAACCAGAAAGACACGGCUAACUACGUG